rnacentral:rRNA from 1 species
UACGGGGGGAGCAAGCGUUGUUCGGAUUUACUGGGCGUAAAGGGCGCGUAGGCGGCGCAACAAGUCACUUGUGAAAUCUCCGGGCUUAACCCGGAGCGGCCAAGUGAUACUGUCGUGCUAGAGUGCGGAAGGGGCUACUGGAAUUCUCGGUGUAGCAGUGAAAUGCGUAGAUAUGUGGAGGAACACCGAUGGCGAAGGCAGCCCCCUGGGUCAAGAUUGACGCUCGAUGCACGAAAGCGUGGGGAGCAAACAGG